UCCCUAGUGGCUUAGAGGGUAAAGCGUCCGCCUGCAAUGUGGGAGACCGGGGAAGAUCCCCUGGAGAA
rnacentral:tRNA from 1 species